AUGAUCAAUAUUAGAGAGUAUGGGUACGACUCAUCACCGAAGGAGCAAGUAAUGAUAGAUUACGAAUCUCUCAGGUAAAAGGAUAAUAUUGUGACG
rnacentral:ncRNA from 1 species